UGCAAGUCGAACGAGAACGGAUUAUAGCUUGCUAUAAUUGUCAGCUAAGUGGCGCACGGGUGAGUAAUGUAUAGGUAAUAUGCCUCUUACUAAGGGAUAACAAUUGGAAACGAUUGCUAAUACCUUAUAUUCCUUUUUAUCAAAAGAUAAAAAGGGAAAGAUUUAUUGGUAAGAGAUUAGCCUGUAUUGUAUCAGUUAGUUGGUGGGGUAAUGGCCUACCAAGACAAUGACGCAUAACUGGCUUGAGAGGAUGAUCAGUCACACUGGAGCUGAGACACGGUCCAGACUCCUACGGGAGGCAGCAGUGGGGAAUAUUGCACAAUGGACGAAAGUCUGAUGCAGCAACGCCGCGUGGAGGAUGACACAUUUCGGUGCGUAAACUCCUUUUAUAUAAGAAGAUAAUGACGGUAUUAUAUGAAUAAGCACCGGCUAACUCCGUGCCAGCAGCCGCGGUAAUACGGAGGGUGCAAGCGUUACUCGGAAUCACUGGGCGUAAAGAGCGUGUAGGCGGAUUGAUAAGUUUGAAGUGAAAUCCUAUAGCUUAACUAUAGAACUGCUUUGAAAACUGUUAAUCUAGAAUGUGGGAGAGGUAGAUGGAAUUUCUGGUGUAGGGGUAAAAUCCGUAGAGAUCAGAAGGAAUACUGAUUGCGAAGGCGAUCUACUGGAACAAUAUUGACGCUGAGACGCG
rnacentral:rRNA from 1 species